UUCAUGCGUGUAUACAAAGGUGUAAUAGGUCAUACAACGAAGCUUGGUGAACUCGGAAGUGGAAGGACCUUCUCCAUUUGCUAUUAACCAUCACUUUUCUACACUUGAACUUCCCUAGUCUUGAACUAGUGGACGUGAUUGACCGACCUUGACUGUUAGCUAUAUUUGAGAAUCUAACCGAGCAAACCAAGGUGAGUUCACACACUUUCUAAGGCCUGGGAUUCCCGGUGGUUGGGAAUGGGUCGUUAAAUGCUUGGAGCUUGCACGAGGAAGGAGUCGUUGUGGGAUACGGACUGUUAUGUUCCGUGUUUAAUAUUUAAAUCCUUAUGAAUUUAUUAAACUUACGCUUUGGACUUUAAACUUAUGAACUAUGGACUUAUAUUUUGGGUUUUGUUGAU
rnacentral:lncRNA from 1 species